AGAGGGAUAGCUGGGUCAAAUGGUGGUUUCCUACCAGAUUUCCAAGAAAUCUCCAUACUGCUUUCCAUAUUGGCUGCAUCUAUUUGCAGUCCCACCAGCAAU
rnacentral:pre_miRNA from 1 species